rnacentral:rRNA from 1 species
UACGUAGGGGGCAAGCGUUGUCCGGAAUUAUUGGGCGUAAAGAGCUCGUAGGCGGUCUGUUGCGUCCGCUGUGAAAACUCGGGGCUUAACCCCGAGCCUGCAGUGGAUACGGGCAGACUAGAAGUAGGUAGGGGAGAAUGGAAUUCCCGGUGUAGCGGUGAAAUGCGCAGAUAUCGGGAGGAACACCGGUGGCGAAGGCGGUUCUCUGGGCCUUACCUGACGCUGAGGAGCGAAAGCGUGGGGAGCGAACAGG